AACGAACGCUGGCGGCGUGGAUAAGACAUGCAAGUCGAACGAAGAAUGAGAGUAGCUUGCUAAUUUCAUUCUUAGUGGCGGACGGGUUAGUAACACGUGAGAUAUCUACCCCAGAGAAGGGAAUAGCUCUCCGAAAGGAGGAUUAAUGCCCUAUGGUCUCUAAGGAGUAAAGGGUGCCUUCGGGUGCCGCUCUGGGAUGAGCUCGCGGCCUAUCAGCUAGUUGGUGAGGUAAAGGCUCACCAAGGCAGCGACGGGUAGCUGGUCUGAGAGGACGAUCAGCAACACUGGAACUGAGACACGGUCCAGACACCUACGGGUGGCAGCAGUCGAGAAUCAUUCACAAUGGGCGAAAGCCUGAUGGUGCAACGCCGCGUGGAGGAUGAAGGUCUUCGGAUUGUAAACUCCUGUCAUCAGGGAGUAAGACUUAUGCGUUAAGAGCGUGUAAGUUUGAUAGUACCUGAAGAGGAAGGGACGGCUAACUUCGUGCCAGCAGCCGCAGUAAAAC
rnacentral:rRNA from 1 species